UAAGGAAUAUUGGUCAAUGGACGAAAGUCUGAACCAGCCAUGCCGCGUGCAGGAUGACUGCCCUAUGGGUUGUAAACUGCUUUUGUACGGGAAAAAAAUCUUGUUUUCGCAACGAGACUGAUGGUACCGUAAGAAUAAGGAUCGGCUAACUCCGUGCCAGCAGCCGCGGUAAUACGGAGGAUCCAAGCGUUAUCCGGAUUCAUUGGGUUUAAAGGGUGCGUAGGCGGAAUGGUAAGUCAGUGGUGAAAGCCUACGGCUUAACUGUAGAAUUGCCAUUGAUACUGCCAAUCUUGAGUACAUUUGAAGUGGGCGGAAUGUGUCAUGUAGCGGUGAAAUGCUUAGAUAUGACACAGAACACCGAUUGCGAAGGCAGCUCACUAAACUGUAACUGACGCUGAGGCACGAAAGCGUGGGGAUCAAACAGGAUUAGAUACCCCCGUAGUCC
rnacentral:rRNA from 1 species